rnacentral:rRNA from 1 species
UGGGGAAUUUUGGACAAUGGGCGCAAGCCUGAUCCAGCAAUGCCGCGUGAGUGAAGAAGGCCUUCGGGUUGUAAAGCUCUUUUGUCAGGGAAGAAACGGUUGAGGCUAAUAUCCUCGGCUAAUGACGGUACCUGAAGAAUAAGCACCGGCUAACUACGUGCCAGCAGCCGCGGUAAUACGUAGGGUGCAAGCGUUAAUCGGAAUUACUGGGCGUAAAGCGUGCGCAGGCGGUUUUGUAAGUCUGACGUGAAAUCCCCGGGCUUAACCUGGGAAUUGCGUUGGAGACUGCAAGGCUGGAGUCUGGCAGAGGGGGGUAGAAUUCCACGUGUAGCAGUGAAAUGCGUAGAGAUGUGGAGGAACACCGAUGGCGAAGGCAGCCCCCUGGGUCAAGACUGACGCUCAUGCACGAAAGCGUGGGGAGCAAACA